UCCCUCUCUUAAAACUGCAAGGAGGAGGACGUUUUUGCAGAAAUGUCCACAUCACGCCUAUUCAAUCUCUUUGGAACUUCAAUUUUCCGCAACCAUCAAGCCACCGCCUUCCUCUCCUCAAUCCCGCUUCCAUUUCGACCCCUUAAACUCUUUUCUUCCCCCUCUUUACGCUCCCACCGGUGCUGUUCUUCCGCCGCGGUUCUUGAAGCCAACACUCCAGCUAUUAGUUUCACUUCUGGUAGCCCAGCAGUCACUUUGACUUCAGCUUCUCAUCCCUGGCCUGAAUGGGUCUCAUUUGUUGAUAGGUUGAAGACUAAAGGCUACUUUCCUCCUGAAAAUGCCCCCACGGCCGAGGAUACGGCUGAGCCUGGUGCUCAUGGUGUUUAUACUGAUAUGAAUUUGUUGAAGGAUGCUUGUCUUAACUUUUCUCGUGACCGUUUUGAUAUCUUCAAGUCAUUAUCCAGGCAAGAAAUUCAGACUGUUGUAGGCAAGGGAUGUCCUAAUCUUCUUCGGAAGGCUGUGAAUUCUGCCAAACGGUUGCGAGUGUAUCUAGGACUUGAUGAAGGAGAUGUAUGCGGUGCUUGUCAUCUUCGUGGAUCAUGUGAUAGAGCGUAUGUCAUAUUGAAGGAAUCUGAAGCUGCUGCGAGGACUGUAGAUAUUGUGCGUAUCUUGUUGGCCUAUGCUUUAGAUCCAAUUGUUAUUGAUGGAAAAGUGAAGCCUCAGGACAUAGAGAUCAUUGAAGUAUCGGUAAGAAACUUGCUACAUGAGUUAACUGAGUUAAGUGAGACAACUCGUGCACCGGACCUUCCAGAGCCUGUUGUCAAUGUUCCUCAGCCAAAGAAGAAGUCUUUUACUUUCGUAAAGGAUGUUGAAAUGAAAAGAGGGGAUUGGAUCUGUUCCCAAUGCAAUUUCAUGAACUUUGCAAGAAACGUAAGCUGCCGUGAGUGUGGAGAAGAUGGACCUAAAGCAAUGAACUCAGAUGACAUUGAAAUGAAAAAAGGAGACUGGAUUUGUUCAGAAUGCAACUUCAUGAACUUUGCCAGAAAUGUGAAAUGCGUGAAAUGCAAAGCAGGUGGUCCAAAGAGGGUUCCGAUGAAAGAUGUCCAAAUGAAAAAGGGAGACUGGAACUGUCCACAAUGUGGUUUCAUGAAUUUUGCCAGCAAUGCUAAAUGCUUGCGCUGCCAUGAUUCACGACCAAAGAGGCAGCUAAGACCUGGAGACUGGGAGUGCCCCUCGUGUAAUUUCUUAAAUUUCAAAGGCAAUAUUGUGUGCAAGAAGUGCAACCAUGAAGGCCCAAAAGAUGUGGGACACACAGUAUGAAGAGCAGAUAUGGAAGAAGCCUUUUUAAGAAACUUGUUUAUGGUAAGGCACUUAAGUUCACAUGUGAAAUCUGCUUCUUUAAUACACUAGCAUGGAAGAUAAUUUACUCGAAAAGAGAUUCUGAGGCUUCAACUGGAGGAUACUCUGAAACAGGCUGACACAACCAAAACUUCCAACGCAUGGCUUCUGCAAAUGGAAAGUUUUCUUUGUCCUAUGGCAUUGUGUGCAUAAAAAGUUGCAAUCGCAAGUUUUUGAAGCAUGGCAUGAAUCUUCCGUCAAAUGGUUCUUUAAGAAGGAGGAGAGGGAGAGAUUCUUAGAUGUGCAAGAUCCGAGAGCACCAUUGGAGGCCAUGCAAAUAGAUCGCAAGCCUGAAAUCUGCUAGUAUUUUGGAUUCGAAUACCUGAGCACAUAUUUAGUGUUAUCCUUACUUUCUCAAAUUUGCAUAAAUUUUGUUUAGA